rnacentral:lncRNA from 1 species
UCUUCCAUCCUUAGAGGGGCCUUUUGUCAAACCAUUUAGCCAUAAACUUAUGCAGCAAGAUUGCUGAGAGAUCCUUACUACCUUUGCUCUUGUGAGUUCAUCCAGAUUCGCGAGAAGGAGCCUCUGGUUCCUCCUAAUUCGUGCUCUACGGUUCCGGCCGUUUUGUGUGGGUUAGUCCCGGUUUGUGGUUCUGCAAUUGUUCAGACAGCGGGUCGGAGGUCUUGCACGUACGGGUCGCAUCCAACCUUGGCAGGUUAAAACUAGUUACCACAGCUGCUUGCAGCAAGUUAUCCCCUUCCGAUUCGAUCCUACGACGUGAAGAUCGGACCGCCCUCGGGCAUCAACUCUUUCAAACGGGUUUGCCUGUCACGCCGGCUGAAGAUGCUCUUAUAGGGGUUGUUUGGUUUGAGCCCAAAGUAACCCUACCAAAAAUUUGACUAGCCAAAUAAUUGGGGAUGGUUUUGCUAGCCCAUGAGUUGGCCAACUUUGACAAAAAAAUUAAACUAAAAUUGGAUAUGAAACAUUGGUUAGCCAAAUAUUUGGUCACCGUCCAAACAAACACCAAAUUUUGAUCAAUGAACAUAUGUUUUGGAAUCAACCAAACACACCCCGUACUCCCCAUUUCUAUUUUUGGCGUUUGGAUCGAUUGGUCGGUGUGAGCGAGCGGCCCGGGUGGGAAAUUGACCCCGAAAACAGUUCGGCUCGCUCAGCAAAAUCGGAGGAAUCACGCGGCCCGCGCUCGCGUCCGGCUCUCUCCUGGCCCAUAAUAUACAAAUGCUGUCCCCAUUCCCCACCCGCGCCGCUCUCUCCUCUCGAACCAAGCCAUGGCGCCUCCUCUCUCUCUCUCUCUCUCUCUCUCUCUCUUGCUUCUGUCCUCCCGAUCUCGUUCACCGUCGACGAAGGCCACCGGCGGCGGCGGCGACGCAAGCAGCCGGCGGACGCGGGGUAAGCUCCUCAUCUCGUUCUCUUCCUUUUCUCCUUCUUGACCCGUUUUCUUUAAGUGUUUCUUGUUCUUUUUGUUGAUCCGCUUCUUGAUUUCUUUCCUAGGGUAGUUCGAGGGACGGAUUGUGUGGCAACCGGCGGAGGCAACGCAAGGCGGUCAGUGGACACGACGCUGCUGGACGGGGGUAAGUUCCCAUCUCUCAUCUCUUCCUUCUCUAUUCCAUUCAAUCCCAAAUUCUCAAAUUUUUGGGUUGAAUGGAAUGCCGCUGCUAUUCCAUUCAAUACCAAAUUCUCAAAGCCCUUAAACCCUAGCAACCUCUUCUCCCCGCCGCCCCCAUGGCGCCGCCGUCGCAGCAGCUGGUGUUCGCAGCCUCCUCCACCGACGCUGGCGUGGCCGCAUGGGAUCUCCGCACGGGCGCUGAGGCUAUCCGUCACCGCCUCUGCGCCUCCAGGCCACGUGCCCUCGCAGCCGUUGCCGGCCGCUUCCUCGCCGCCGCCCAGGCCUCCGCCGGCAAAUCUGCCCCCAUCUACUACUACCAGUGGGACAAGGUAAGCCGUAAGCACCCUUCGCAAGCCACACAUCACCUACUUGUACCCCAAACUCUGUCCUUGAGCUUGUCUUUGGUUCCAAAUGCAGCCACAGGUGGCCGUGAAGAGCUUCCCCACAGAGCCAAUCCGGGCGCUCAUUGCUGACCCGGAAGGGAGUUAUCUCAUUGGAGGCGGGGUCUCCGGUGACAUAUUUUUUUGGGAGGUUGGGGAAUUGUGGUUUCUUGGUGCUGUGCUGAAACUAACGGUGAAAAGUUGUUCUAGCUUACACCUGCUUUGUUUGGUGUUCCUGUGUAGGUGGCUACUGGAGAGCUGCUUGUCCGUUGGCAUGCACACUAUCUUGAUGUUAGGUGCCUUGCCCUCUAUGACUUAUUGCUCGUCUCGGGGUCUGAAGAUGGGAGCAUCAAAGUUUGGGAUCUUAUCACGUAUGUUUGUUGAUUAGGGUAAUGUGGAGUCUAUUGUAUUAUUUUGUAUACUGUUUGAAGUUUGGUUGUUUUGGUUGCAGGAUGCUUGAUGAGCUGGCAAGAUCAGAGGCGAAGACACCAUACUUGUAUAGCUUCAAUCAGCAUGCACUUCCUGUAACUGACAUUGCUUGUUUUCAUGGAGAAAUUGCUGUGUCAUCUUCAGAGGAUCGCACCUGUAAAGUAUGUCUUCAUUUUUAUUGUCUUUUGAGUUGUAUGUUGUGCACCGUUGCACGUUUCUACAAGUUACUGACAUUAUUGUUAGCAUCCUUUUUUACAGUUUGUAAUUAAGCAUCUUGGCCUAAUUAAUAAAUCUCCUUGCUUAUACUUUUGUCUUUCCCCAGAUUUGGAAUCUAUCUGAGGGUAGGAUGCUAAGAAGUAUUUCAUUUCCUGCUAUCAUUGAUUCUAUCGUACUAGACCCAAGAAGUCAUAUUUUCUAUGCUGGUGGUAGAGAUGGAAAGAUAUAUGUCACUGCAAUGGGUGUUGAUGUCACCUCUAAGGACAGUGACGAUUCAUCUAUUCUUGGCGCUUUGGAUGACCACAGGUUUGCCGACUGUCAUACUUUUUCAUCAGCAUGUCUCUUUUAUCUUGUGAUGUAAAUAGCUCUAAGCCUCUAUGUUGGUUAUGUCUUCUAUGACGUAAAAAUCUUUCUUUUAUGUCUAAUAUCUAACCGGGCCUUGGAAAUCUAAACUAGCUGUGCCAAUCCCUUUCUAUAAAAUAAUAUACUUCCCUCCGGCCGGAAUUACUUGUUGUACUUUGCUUUAUUUGUGCAUGUUAUAAAUUUGUAGCCUAGUAUUACUGAAGUACAGAGGUAGUAGGAUUGAUAUGCCCAAAUGUGAUUCACCUGUUGACUGUUGUAUGCAAAUAUACUGCAACUUUUAACUGUUGCUUUAGAAAUCAACUAUAUCUCAGAGUACGAUUUGUUCUAACUGAUGUGAAGCUGGCUCACAUUGGAAUCAGUACCAUGCAGAAGAUGUCUAGACGGCAUGCCAUGAAGGGAUUAGGGUGUUAGAAGGGGAAAUAGAGUAGUUAUUGGUUUCAACUGGAGGACUAGAGUGGUUGAUAAAUAUGGAGUAUAUAUACGAGAGAUUGAUUUCAUGCUGGACUUUGGAAGAAGUACCUGCCAUCCUUUUAUGAGGACUGCUCAACACUGACUCAUUGGCUUCACUUGUCCUACUUGAUCCCUAGUGGCUAAUUAUACUCUGCGGCUCUACUAAAUGUGAAUAUACUCAUGUACUCCCUUACGGACUCUCCUGGCCGAUGCUGUCUGAGUUGCAGCAGGACUAUUUCUGCCGCACAGGCUGCAUGUCCUUUCUGUCGCUGCUGUGCUGCUGCUUUUUGUCCACAACACCAGCUAAAAUACUAAAUAACAUAGGAAUUGAAAUGGCAAUCCACAUAACCAGGAAAAACAAGGUGAUUUGGUACAUGAUCCAUGAACUCAAAUUUGUACACAAAAAUAUGUCCUGUUUCCCUAUACUAGAUUUGGUGUUCCUGUGCAUGCUCUUGGUCACUGGUAUAUGCACCAAGGCAAUACACUAGUAUGCAAAAAAGAUAUACCUCCGGUUGAUUACUGUUCUUUUUGUGUAUUUGUUUCAUUCGACUAAUGCUUCAGAUAGUAGUUGGAUUGGCUCUGUACUAGAGAUAUGUACCUGGGUCAGCUGUGUAAAUUAAACAGAGAUGUUAACAGCUACCUGUGCUGUUUAGUUUCAGUCACUUCAUUGUAGUGUUCCUGUUAUUUGCGUUGCAAGACUUCUUAUGCUGAUACUGAUGCUUUGUUUAAUUGUUCCAGCAAGGGAGUGACCAGCUUAGCAUCAAGCACAGAUGGGCUUCUACUAGUCUCCGGUUCAGAGGAUGGCAGUGUUCGGGUUUGGGAUACCAGAACUCAGCAAGUAACCCGGAAAUUCAAACAUUCUCAAGGUUCAUAAGUUACUUCUACACUUGACCUUUCUGUACCAACCCAUGCAGAAAGUAGUCAAAGAGUUGAAACAUGUUUGAUAUGUAUUCUGCAUUAUCACAUGGACUAUGGAGUUGAUGAUUUAUUUUUCUUUUGAGAGAGGAUAUGAUAAUUACUUGUUUCCAUGCCUCAAGAAGAGCAAAUGAGAUGGUAUUAGAUGUUGACAUCCUCAACAGAUUGACAUGACUCAUGAGUCUAGUUUGUUACCUUUCUAGUGUUGGUUCUAGGUAACAUCGUUAAUCCUAUCCAAAGACAUAUAUUCAAAACAGUAGAAGCAUCUGUAUGCACAAUUUAUUUCUGCAUAUAUUGGUUCCCAAGGAUACUUUACUUUGACUGAAAUUUAUCAAUCCAUCCUGCCGGAAGUAGGAUUUGCUAGAUUAAUUUAUAAGCACACAUUCGUUUAGGAAGCCUGACUAGAGUUUCCAGCCAAAAAAGGGAAAAUAUUUGUAUCAAUUUGGUGAGCGUCAUUUAGUCACUAAAGUGACCCAUAGACUGCUGAUCUUCAGUCGAAGGGCCAAUCUGUAUUUUGUUACUUGUGUAUUAUAGUGCCAUAUAGAAAUAGUCUACCGCAAGAUCUUCUCAGACCCAAAGCCAGGUCCUAAUUUUUUUCUGGACGAAACCUAAAGAUCAUGUUGUUGGACGAAUCUGGAUGUAGUAUGUGCUUCUGUGGUGUUCAUAUGUCUUAUUUGGUAAUUCGUCGUCCAUGCCGGAACAUGCCAUUCUAUGCCCUUCAUGCCAUGAAAGCCCUCAGCAGCCAUAACCGUGGAAUGGUUGAAAUGCACCAUGACCUCAUUGACAAGGGCCCAGUGAGUCACUCAUUUUAUUUGUAAAACUUGUCUGAAUUGAUUGUUUCUAAAUACGUAGGCUGAGUUGUACCGGUGUUUUUUCAGACCAUUUGUUAUGUAUUUAAUAUCUGAAUCAUGUGAAGGAAAGUACAGUCUUUUGAGCUUUUGGUAAAAAUCUUUUUUAACAGGUCCAGUAACUAAUGUUCUCAUAGUAGCACCCAAGAGAGUAAAUCUGCCACCCCUGCAACCACGCGUAAAGUUUGUGCCGCAAAUGGAGAAGUUGAACCACAAGCUGUAAUUCCGCCCAACCCUGAAAAUGAUAUUCAAAUUGCUGAAUAUCACAGCUCUAACCUUCUAGAGCAUUGCUUGGAUUCACUUCAGGUCAGUUGAUUCUGUAUUUCCUUGCAUUAGAUGCAACACAUUAUUGUAACCUUCCAUUUCUAUGUUCCCUUCUGUUGUGUCUGAUUGUUAUGCAUUGCUUCAGCAGCAUGGCAACACUAGUUUAUUUGAUUCUGGGGCGAGCACUCUCAAUGGCAUGCCGAACCAACUAGGGACAGAAUGGAGAAGUAAAUACCUUGAGUUGCAAGAUCUUUUUGUGCAUCAAGUUCUAGGUCAGACGCCAUCUUCAAUGGACACAUGAUAUUGCGUGACUGGAUAUUACAGAUCAUUACUGUCAAUUAGGUGAGAACUGCAUAAUAUACUUCUUGGGUGUUUAAUUAGAGAAAAGAAUAACGGAUGUGUGUCUAUCAGUGUCCACCUUGUGAGCUGAAAUGGGGUUAGAUGGUAAUAUGUCAACACCUGAUGAAUAUAAGUUCAUUUUCUUACCCUGCUUCAAACGUAUAAGAAAAAUUUGUUAGCAAAGUUCUUCUGUGGUGAAAUUUGCCAGAAUCAUAUUGCACCCCGUUUGUUUAUGUUCUCAUGCUUUAAAUUUUACGUGGCAAUUUAUGAUUUUGGAUCAUUGUGCUGGAGGCUUGUGGUGAUAGGUCAACAAAUGAGAUGGUAGGUAUUAAAAAAAACUGGGUGAUCCUAAUGGAUGUCAAAAUGAGUUGGUGUACACAUAAACAUCUUCAAAUCAAGCGAAGGUUGGUGAAAUUAGUUGAUAUAUGUGAAAUUGUGUUUUGACCGAGUUAACAGAAACGAAGAGAGUCUUCUGCAUUGGUGAAUCGUGUAUCUGAUCGUCUAUUAUGACUGGAAUGGCCAACUCAGCACCGUAUUAGUUUUGGCUUGGUUUCAGUCCUGCAGGCUGCAGCUGAACUUAUAGACACUACGGCUGUAUGGAAUGAUUUACCACCGACACAAGUAACAUAGGCGGACAUGCCUGGACUGUUGAAUUUUGAUACUACCCACCCUCAGUGGCAUUUUUUGUACAUUCAAAUUGGUUCGCAUGUGUUAAACCUUGUGCAACUUGGUUUCCCAAUCUGCUGUGGUUGGACCUCACGGUAAACCUCGUGAUUUGGAUAGGCUGCGGCCACCUUUAUUUGUUCUUUCCUAGAUCUGGCGCUGCAAUGUUCUUUCAACUGUAUUUAACAACUCGUGAAAAUUCUCCGUUCCUGAAGAAAUUCACAGGAAUGGUGAAGUUUUUUAACAUGGCUUGCCAUCUAUCGUGUGGAAUUCUUUGCACCGCCUUGCUCUUAGGUACAGUGUUGAUUUUUUUACUUAUUGGUCGAUUUCAUUAUUGCUUUGCCAUUGCCAAAUCCUUCAGCGUUACAACUUACAAGAACAACACUCAGGCUAGCUAGAUUGCCCGGUGUACACAAAGCCCAAACUGUUGUUAACAACACCCCCUCCAGUUGGCCCACGCCAUGCAAAACUACUACAAGAAAAAUAAAAAAGAAGAAAAGGCAAUCUCCUAACUUUUAAAAGCCUACCACCUCGGCUGGAUGCCGCCUCUCGCCCUCAGCCUCUCCCUGGCGAGCUCCUCGGAGACUGGCGUUCCGGUUAAACUUGUCUAGAUUGCCUGGCAUGAUAAACUCUAACUUACGAAAGUCAUUCUAAAUUUGUCCAAAUAUGAAUACUCAGCAAGUCGCUCUAACUUAGACAUGCCAGAAAGUAAGGAAGCAACAUUAAUACACAUAUCGCAAAACGGCGCUGCAUGGCUAUGGGUAUGAUAAAAAUCUUAUGAUUUCCUCACGGUGGUGCCUAACAAAACUUCCGCCGCUACAUUUUACUCGGGCCUAAGCAAAUUCAACAAAACAUCUAGAUAUUGUAAAGGUAUCCUGUUGUAAGCCGACUACAAAUACCCCUUUUUUCAUAGCACAUGGCUCAAGGCACAUGAUUUUUGUCUUAACUCAACUAAAAGUUAAACCCAAUUUAUAGGAAAAAAUAUUGGCAUCUAUAAUACCAAAUAUAUUAUAAAUAUAUAAUUCGUGUUUCAUCUAUUGUAUUAGUUUGAUGUUGUAGAAGUCGAUCAUUUUUACUAUAAACUUGAUCAACAUACAAUAUUUUUUAUUUAUAACAAAAACCAUACGCCUUAUAAUAGGGAAAGGAGGUAGUAUCACUUAGUUUUGCUUGCCAAAGCUUCCAGCUAAGGUACAAAGGGUUGUUCCCGUGGAAUGUUAAACUUAUCACCAUCAAUCAUUUAGGGUUUUUUAACACUUAGUUACGAAUAGAGCAGUGGUGUGUUAUUACUCAAUGUUAACGGUACCAAGUAAAAUCAUCAAAGCAUACUGGAGGGGAUAUAGUUUUGGAAUCAUCACCAUGAGGAACUUUGUGGCACACCACACACACAACAAGGGGAAUGGGCUUUGCCACACGGCUCGAGCAUAGCACUAUCCUUGAAAUAAAAUAAAUUUGGAACUAAAAGUGUGUUUUUGUACUGUCAUGCUAACCGCUAACCGGCACGACGAAAUAGGAGCAAUACCCCUCUGUUUUCAAAUUAAUCGUAUAUUUAGGCCUUUCAAGUUUUCUCGAUGUAGUUGUACAUUUAGACUCGCAAACCCUAUUAAUCAUUAUGCUCCCAUUUCUAUUAGACAAAUUUUUUAUUAAAAUGUUAUAAUCCUAAUGGAUGAAGGGAUGUGGAUAAAUAGAGAUUGGAGCAAAAUUAAAUCAUUGUGCAAUAAAUUGCAUGUGACUAAGAAAAAAGAGAUCAAAUAGUGUACCCCUCCGUGCCUUGUUAAGUGACAAAUUAUUACAUAUAUCUAGACGCUUUUUGGAUGUAGAUACAUUCAUAUUUGGGCAAAUUUGAGUCACUUAAUACGGGACGGAGAGAGUAGUAUUUUUUCUCUUUAACUUAUUUUUUCUUUGAAAGUCUACAUGUGAAACUAAUUUGAGAGAUUUUGUUUUUGUAUUUUUUUUUUUGAGAACCGUCUCGCUUUAUUGAUUCAUAGAAGAAAAUACAAUAGAUGGAAACAAGCUAAACGAACAUAAGGAACGAAAAUCAACUACAAAACUAAAAGCUCCAUCAUGGUCUUCCGAAAUCAACAUCUCUAGAUCCAUCUUCCGCAUCUUGACGUUUCUCCAUGUAACCGGUAACGGAAUUGUCGGGGGGAUGACCCCGGGUAGGGUCAUGGAGACACAACUCUAGCUGAGAUAACGGAGGCAAAACCGGCAUAGCAACGUAUGCCAGCAUCGUAAAGUUAAACUAACUCUAAACCGGCAUCCCGGGCGUAUGCCGGCAUAGUUCUCUUAUCUUCUAAGUUUGCAGGAUAAGGACGAGCCCCUUGACCUCGGUGGUGCCGAAAUUCCUCAACGGUCUUAUUGUGACCACGCGGUGCAAAGAAAAGCAGCGACAUCAUUAUCUCAGAAAAGCAGUCAGCGCCUGCGUAUCGGUGUCAGGUGACCACGCUAAAGAAGCACCGAAAGGGAAUCUAUGACGGAAGCCGGUAGAGGAUAGCUGUACCCGUUGCAGGCUGGCAGGGAAAAGUAAAGUUGUCUUGUCCCCUGUGGUACUGCCCGGAGGGAACCGAGCCGCGUGCCCGGCGGGGCCCAAGGAAGGUGACGUUAAACUCGGCCCGCAUGUCACUGAGACAUGUCUUGCCUAUAAAUAAAGCACUAGCCCUCGGUGGAGGGAGGAGCACUUAGACAUUCUAGGGUUUCCCCUUCUUCUUCUUCUUCCUCAAGAAUACAGCUCAAGGAGCACCAUUGUAAAGCUUGCUUAUCUCGACUAAUACAACAAAGCAGGAGUAGGAGUCUUACCUCGGCAAGAGGGCUCCGAACCUGGGUAAAUCUGUGUGUUCUUGUGUGAAUCGUGCGUGUUCUUCUUCACGUCCUCCCUCCUCCGGUUCCUCCAUCGUCCAUCGGCCCCAAGUUAAGCCAUCCUAUGGCAUCUGCCGUGACACCACCACGACAGUUGGCGCCCACCGUGGGGCCAGCAGCGGCGCUGGCUGGAGUUUUCAUCCGGACGAGAAGUUUCCUCGUCACCGGAGAACGCGUGGUCUCCGGUUUGGUCCAGAGAUUCGGCUCUCUGGGCUUCAUCGACAACAACGCGGGCUGCUUCAACAACGCUCCGCUUCCCUGUGCAGGCCGCUUCAUCAACUUUGGCAUGAAUGAGGUCUAUGUUACUACUGACAGCCCUUGCAGGUACCCAGAGCAAGUGGUGAUGGCUGAAGACCCUCCCGCCCUCCGCACGGCUCGCGGACGGCAUGUCGACUGCCCCGCUGACCGUGUGGAGGUCAUGGUGACGGCUCGUGGCGCUGACGUUGGAAGGGACGCUGCGGGAAGCGGCCCGAUCCCAACCGAAUCCGGCAGAACGGCGAAGCUCCCCUUGGAGAAGCCGGAGAACAUCGCUACUCAAGCCGGCACGUCGGCCCUGCCGCCGAAGCCGACCCAGCUCCAGGCCUCCAUCAAACGCUAACCCGACCCAGCUGCAGGCGGAGUUAGAGUUGGAGAGACAUGCUAAAGGAGGCAGUCGACGUCGCUAGCGCUCGACAACAGCUCGAGAUCUCGCUUCGUGAGUAUAACAGAGCUCAUGGUCUUAGUUCUACUGCGUUUACUAACCCUAGCAGAGUCAGGGAGGUGCGUAACCGUGGCAGAACUUGAAUGCCGAGAUGGCAAGAGAUGGCAGGGGUGUGCCAGCUUUGUCGGCAAGUUUUGCCUCGGCACUUAAGCCGGAGUACAAUACCCCAGCCAAAAAUCUCAGGGCUGCCGAGCCUGCGGCUGAAGAGUUGCCGAAUCUUACGGGAGAGGCACUUCGGCAGUAGCAGCUGCACGUAAAAGAGCUGCUACAAACAGCAAAUGAGCAGAAUGAAGCAUACAUGAGAGUGCACAGUAAACCUGGUGCAUCGCAGGUCAUUCAUUCAGCCGCAGACGCUGGUGGCCGGGUUGACAGACAAGCGUCCUCACCUGGUGGCAAACGGGACAAAAGCGUUAACUCUGGCCGGGAUAAGCAGUUGGAACACUAUGGCCCGGCCCUGGCCGAGAAACAAAUAGUCAGGAGGGUUGAUGACAGCCAAAGUGGUCUGCGUCUCGGCGGCAACCGCCGAGAUCAGCAGGAGCGUUACUCAUAUGAUCGUGGGCAUCGACCUCAGGAUCCGGCACCCAAUACUGCUGCGGGACAGCAGGGUGUCGGGCGCAACCCCCUGUAUCGAGGUGAAGAUCGUCGUUAUGACCGUUACGAUGACAGAUACUCGGCCAUGGCUGACGAGGGUUAUAUUAGGCGAGAGCGCGACAAUCUCGAUCCGCUCGAAGGCCGAAUUGAGAACAGGCAGGUUUCGCCCCUGGAUGCUCGACACCGGCUUGAUAGAAUUUAUCUAUCCGAGCUUCUGGAGGAGCAAGGCCCUCCGGGACCGCGUUGUUUCGCGCAUCGGAUCAUGAGGGAGAGAGCAGCCCCGGGUUUUCAGCUGCCCAGGGGUACAAGAAUGUAUGACGGCAGUACUAAGCCGGAAGAUUGGCUGGAAGACUAUGUCACGGCAGUAAGCGUGGAAAGUAGCAAUCGCAGAUGGGCAGUACGUUAUGUACCCCAGAUGCUCGUGGGGCUGGCAAGGAUAUGGUUGAACAAUUUGCCGGAAAGCAGCAUCAAAGUGCUGGAUAGACUUCGAGGAAGCGUUUGUCAGCAAUUUCACUAGCACCUACAAAAAGCCGAACCACCCUCAAUAGUUGUCCAUGUGUAAGUAAAGAGACAACGAAACCGACCGGGAUUACCUGACAAGAUGGAACAAUCUCCGCAAUUCCUGUGAGGGGAUAGUGGAGUCGCAAGCCAUAGCGUGGUUCGCCCAAGGAUUCGGCACGGCAGCAUGCUAUGGCAGAUGCUGCAAAGAGAGAUGCCGACCACUCUAUCUGAAAUGAUCAGGAUCGCCGACAUGUAUGCACUUGGCGAUCCGACUCAGUCAUCGCUGAUGCCAGCAGAACCACAAAGGGAGCAGCCGACAUACAAUCCUGCAGGGGCUUUCCGGAGGAAUGAUCAUCAAGAUCACUGCAACAAAAGAAGGGAUGACAGGCAGGAUUACCGAUAUGGGCCAGCCCAUGUCGUUGCAGUUCAGGACCAACCUGAUGCUGGUUCCAACCAGCGUCAAAAAAUAGGAAAUCAGCAAUGGGUUAAGAAGGGGGAGCAAAUGAAGCCCUGGCAGGAUAAGCCAAGGUAUACUUUCGAGGUGAUGUUGGAUCAGCCUUGUCGUUUUCACACAACUAACCCCAACAAGCCGGCGAACCACACAACGCGGCAAUGCAGCUGGAUGCAAUGGGCCGAGAACGGCGAGGCAAGCAGGUUACCUCCACCUCCACCACUCACAGGCGCAAACGCACAGAUCCAAGGAUCCCCUCAGGCAAACAAUGUAGUCAACCAGGUGGAGGGACAAGAAAUCCCAGGGUAUGCCGGGAGAAACGAGUACAAGGAGCCUCACCAGAGCUACAUGAUUUUCAUCACUGAGCCCACUAACAAGCAAAGUCAGCGCAGGCGAGAAAUGGAAGUCAAUGCUGUUAUGCCGGCAGUUCCAAAGUUCAUGUAUUGGUCGGAAGAGGAGGUCACCUGGAACCGAGCAGACCAUCCCAAGGUUAUGCCCAACCCUGGUGGAUAUGCCUUGGUGGUCGACCCGACGCUCAUUGGACCCGACAUUAACGUCAAGUUCAAUCGGGUUCUCAUUGACAAUGGAAGCAGCAUCAAUAUCCUGUAUCGGGACACGAUGCUUAAGCUCGGCAUUACAGAUAACAUGCUUGAGCCCAGCCGGACUACCUUUCAUGGUAUUGUGCCGGGAGUGUCUUGUCCCCCGGUACGCAAGAUCCGAGUGGAUGUCUUAUUUGGCACCAGGGAGAACUAUCGGACCGAAAAUCUAGUCUUCGAGAUGGUGGACCUUAGCAGUCCGUACCAUGCACUGUUGGGUAGGCCAGCACUCGCCAAGUUCAUGGCUACUACUCACAUUGGUUAUCUGAAGAUGAAGAUGCCGGGACCAAAUGGUACCAUAACUAUCACGGGCAACUACAAACGCUCAAUGGAAUGCGCGGCGGCUGGAUCUGUUUUGGCUGAGUCGCUGGUCAUCGCUGGCGAGAAGAAGAAAUUACAAGAAGCUGUUGCGAUGGCACAGGCGGCACAAGUCGGUCUGCCAGCAAUGACCAAUCCUCAUGGAAGUGUGGCUUUUCAGGCAGCCAAGGAGACAUAGAAGGUACAGGUCGACAGCGAGUUCCCGGACCGCACUGUCAUCAUCGGUGCGGGCCUAGGGGAGAAAUAGGAAGGCGAGCUCAGCAGCUUCCUCCGUGAGAAUCAGGAUAUCUUCGCAUGGUCAACUCAAGACCUGCCAGGUGUGCCGAGGGAGUUAGCUGAGCACUCAUUACAUGUCAGACCAGACAUAAGACCGGUGAAGCAGCCCCUUCGACGCUUCGCCGAUGGCAGAAGGAAAGUCAUAUCGGAAGAGGUAUCCCGGCUUCUAGCUGCCGGCUUUAUCAUGGAAGUGUUGCAUCCCGACUUGCUGGCAAACCCGGUCAUGGUCGAGAUGAAGAAAAACGACCCAACUGCUGCCAAAGUAUGGCGCAUGUGUAUCGACUACACCAGCCUAAACAAGGCAUGUCCCAAAGACCCAUUUCCAUUACCUCGGAUCGAUCAAGUGAUUGAUUCUACUACCGGGUGUGAGUUGUUGUCUUUUGUGGAUGCGUAUUUUGGUUUUCAUCAGAUACCACUGAACCUUAAUGAUCAAAUAAAGACAUCAUUUAUCACCCCGUUCGGGGCUUAUUGCUAUCGCACUAUGCCGUUUGGUUUGAGAAACGCAGGAGCUACCUAUCAAAGAUGCAUGCAGAAGUGCUUACAUGAUCAACUCAGCAAAAAUGUACAUGUAUAUGUCGACGAUGUCGUCAUAAAAACCAAACAGAGCACCACGCUCCUGGAUGAUAUCCGAAAAACAUUCGCAAAUCUGCGGAGGUUCUGAAUGAAACUAAACCCGGCCAAGUGCACAUUCGGUGUGCCGGCAGGAAAGUAGCUCAAUUUCCUGCUAUCAAGCCGAGGAAUAGAAACGAACCAUGUGAAAAUUGUUGCUAUAGAAAGAAUGAAACUGCCAAAUUGCCUUAAAGAUGUGCAGAAAUUCACGGCGUGCCUCGCAUCGCUGAGUUGUUUCGUGAGUCGGCUCGGUGAAAAGGCUAUGCCCUUAUACCAGCUGAUGAAGAAAACCGACAAAUUUGUGUGGACACCACAUGCGGACCUAGCUUUUCAAGAGCUGAAAAAGAUGAUUGCUACGACACCCAUAUUAGCUUCGCUGACGGAGAAGGAGCCUAUGUUGUUAUACAUAGCAGCGACAAAUCGGGUUGUCAGUGCUGUCAUUGUAGUGGAAAGGGAUGAAAAUGGCAAAUCAGUACAAAGGCCAGUAUAUUACUUGAGCGAGGUGUUAUCAUCGUCCAAGCAAAAUUAUCCCCACUACCAAAAGAUGGCAUAUGGCGUGUAUAUGGCGGCAAAGAAGUUAAAGCAUUAUUUUGAGACACAUCAGAUCCGAGUUAUAUGUGAGGCACCCAUUUCGGAAAUCAUGAAUAACAAAGACGCGAGCGGCCAAGUCGCAAAAUGGGUUGUCGAGCUGGCACCCUAUGUGCUGCAGUACGACAGACGGGAUGCCGUGAAAUCUCAGGCUUUGGCGGAUUUCUUGGUGGAUUGGGCCGAGAUGGAGUAUGAACCACCGCCCCCGGAAACUAACUACUGGAAAUUACAUUUUGACGGCUCUAAGAUGAAAACUGGGCUUGGUGCCGGCAUAGUUCUGACCUCGCCAAAGCGCGACCAACUUAAGUAUGUAUUGCAGAUUCACUUCGCAGCAUCCAACAAUGUUGCCGAGUAUGAGGCACUUGUGCACGGAUUGAAAAUGGCGAAAGAAAUUGGAGUCCGCCGGAUUCAGUGCUUUGGUGAUUCUGACCUGGUCGUCCAGCAAGUUUCUGGUAAUUGGGAUGCAUUAGAUGCCAACAUGGCGCUAUACCGUUUUCAUGUCCAGAAGAUCAGUGGCCAUUUCGAAGGAUGUGAGUUUCAUCAUAUACCUCGGGCGGAAAAUGAAGCAGCCGACACAUUGUCGAAACUCGGUUCGACGCGACAAGCUAUUCCAACUGGGGUGGCGUUAGAGCAUUUACGUAAACCAUCUAUAAAACCCUCACCAGAAUCGGAGUCGAUAUUUACGUAAACUGCCCAGGCAGGCUGUUCUUUGCGAUUGCUUUGACCCGGCGCCGGACUUCAGCCUGGUCAAGCCGGACGGUUGAUACUCGGUCCGGGUCGAGCUGACCGCUGUAGAAGCACAUCUUAUGUAACCGGCCCUGGAGCGGGCACAGCCGCCGGUAUACAAAUGUCGCCAACAGAUCGUCUGCCGUCAUCCCCUCCUCCUUCAGCUCGAGGAUGGCGGCGUGGAUCUCGUUGACCUCCGGGUUGGUCUCCUUCGGGUCGAAAGACCAGUUCCUCUUCUCUUCCGGGGGGCCGACUUCGAAUCCCGGCAGAUUGAUCUUGUCGGCCGUGGAGGAGUUCUUAACAUAGAAAAAGGUCUUGAGCCAUUUUUUGCACGACUCAAGACCUUGAAUUCUGGGGAAAGACGAGUUUCGGCGAGGAACGAUGGUGGCGGCGCCGCAUUGGGUCAUCAGCUUUGCGGCGCCGGGAUUAUACUUAUCCGGGAGAACUUGUGGCCGGAACAUGAAGUACCGGGACCACAGAUCAACGGAAGGCCAAAGGCCGAGGUAGCCUUCUUAACAGGUGACGAAUGCCGAAAGGGUGAGAAUGGCAUUCGCCGGAAGGUGGUGCGGCUGGAGGCCAAAGAAAUCUAGGAAUGUCCUAAAGAAAUCACUGGCUGGAAGGGCAAACCCGCGUUCGAAGUGCAAGAGAAAGACGACGUGCUCACCAGCUUCGGGGGUCGGCACGAGUUCUCCGCCGGGAACCCGGCACUCGACCUCCUCCGGGAUCUGCCGGGAGCGGCGGAGCCACCGGAUGUCCGCCGGGGUCAUGUCGGAACCCUCCCAGGUGGCGCGCUCGGAGCUCGUCCUCUCCUCCGCCUGAGCAGCAGGGUCGACGGCCGGAUUGUGAGAAGAAGACGCCAUGGAGGAAAGUAGAUCUAGGGUUUGAGUUUCUGCGAGGUAGCGCUUGCGCGAAGGCCUAAGCUUGCAGGCGGGUGCAGCGGGACCCUAUUUUAGUACGGGCGAACCGGCGGCUGCGAGUUUGGAGGCGAGCUACCGCAAUGGCAAGCAAGCUUGGUGCUAGCAGUGGCGGUGAAGUGCGCAAGGAGCAAGAAGACAAAGGAGAACGAAUGGGCGAGGAGAGCGAGGAGUGCGAAGGGUUUUCUGCCCACGCCCUCCUCCUGCUUUAUACCAAUGGGGCGCGGGUUUCCUGAGCGCACCACCUUAGUGGCUCACGAGAAGAUUGCGCACGAUUUGGGACAGUUAUUCCCAUCAAGGCGCACGCUCGGUUACCGCGUGGCGUGCCGCCGAGAAUUCCACAGGAUCCGGAGGAUAAGUGUUCGCGUGGGAACCGAAGUUCUAUCCUUAAUGGCUCUGUCGGCUUUACUGCCUAACAAGAUGGCACGCUCGCCCCGAAAGGCGCAACAGCAUUAACUCGAGCCUUAUCCUCCUGUCAGAAGUGAAGAGUACAAGUCACGGACGGCGCAUAUAUCGGCAGAAGCGAGUUUUCAACUGUCGGUUAUGAGGAAGAAAGAAUCUCGGCUGAGGGCUGGAUAGACACGCCAACCCGGAGUCCCAGAGUGAAUUGAUCUCGGCUAGGAGAACCUCGGCAUCCUUCUCGGCUGGACCCAAGUAGGUGUUGGUGGUCUGUCUGUGGGAAACUGUUGCAGCCCGACAUCCUUCUAUUCCGGACCACAACAGCUUCGGGGGCUAGUGUCGGGGGGAUGACCCCGGGUAGGGUCAUGGCGACACAAGUCUAGCCGAGAUAACGGAGGCAAAGGCGGCAUAGCAACGCAUGCCAGCAUCGUAAAGUUAAACUAACUCUAAGCCGGCAUCCCGGACGUAUGCCGGCAUAGUUCUCUUAUCUUCUAAGUUUGCAGGAUAAGGACGAGUCCCUUGACCUCGGUGGUGCCGAAAUUCCUCAACGGUCUUAUCCUGACCACGCGGUGCAAAGAAAAGCAGCGACAUCAUCAUCUCAGAAAAGCAGUCAGCGCCUGCGUAUCGGUGUCAGGUGGCCACGCUAAAGAAGCACCGAAAGGGAAUCUAUGACGGAAGCGGGCAGAGGAUAGCUGUACCCGUUGCAGGCUGGCAGGGAAAAGUAAAGUUGUCUUGUCUCCUGUGGUACUCCCCGGAGGGAACCGAGCCGCGUGCCCGGCGGGGCCCAAGGAAGGUGACGUUAAACUCGGCCCGCAUGUCACUGAGACAUGUCUUGCCUAUAAAUAAAGCACUAGCCCUCGGUGGAGGGAGGAGCACUUAGACAUUCUAGGGUUUCCCCUUCUUCUUCUUCUUUCUCAAGAAUACAGCUCAAGGAGCACCAUUGUAAAGCUUGCUUAUCUCGGCUAAUACAACAAAGCAGGAGUAGGAGUCUUACCUCGGCAAGAGGGCUCCGAACCUGGGUAAAUCUGUGCGUUCUUGUGUGAAUCGUGCGUGUUCUUCUUCACGUCCUCCCUCCUCCGGUUCCUCCAUCGUCCAUCGGCCCCAAGUUAAGCCAUCAUAUGGCAUCUGCCGUGACACCACCACGAUAGGAAUUACAGAACACCAUGCUUGCACAAGCUGAAGUAACGUUAUAGUUUUUACAAAGCUGCUUGAGUCGCCCACCUCAAACAAUGGGAACCUGAGAUCGUUGAACGCACCAUGACCGGGGACACAUCCCUUACAAGGCAAGUUGUGAAACUGCUUCUCCGUUGAUGAAUUGAAAAGGAAAAAAACCAAAAACACCAAAAGAAGAAAUGCGAGAACCACUGACUCCAUGGAGUAGGAUGCGACGCCUGUGCCAGGACGGGAACAGAGCCAGAACAUAAAUCUUCUAGACGACGUCGUCCCCACCGUCAAGAUGCCACCGUAAGGAACACACAAACCUAAUCAGGAAACUGCAAAAUUAAUGACAGAUGUGGAUCCGUGGUUCCCCCCGUCUCUCAAUGCCGAAACGGCGGUUUGAAGAUUGAAAUUUUCUUCAACAAGGACGGCUAGGUAUUCUCUGGACGGCUAGGGGAUACUCCAGCGUUCACGGACUCUGACCUGUCCAGAUUUUGUUUUUUUAAUAACCCGAGAUGUAACAUUAGGAGCCCAUGGAUGCCUAAUUGUGUUUCAUUUAAGCCCACCGUUUUUUUUGAGAGGAAUUUAAGCCCACCUGUAGCAGUCAUCCGGUAUUUCCUGCCAAGAACUAAACCAGCCCAUUGGGCCCAUCAAGCGCUCCUCUGUACUAGUAUAUAAACUCUCGCUGCUUCCAUUUGCCCUUUCCUCCGAUCCAAAGGUUUCGUCGCGCCGCCGCCGCCUCCUUUCCACCCGCCGCCGCGAUGGUACGCAUCUUCGCUCAGGCAUCUCGAAUCUCUCUCAAUCCAUCUCGUUUUCACUUUCUAUAUGCCCCUCGUUUCUUGGAUUUCCGCUGAUUGCUUGUUCCCUUGCGUCUCAUCUCGUGCAGCCGUCGCACAAGACCUUCCGGAUCAAGCAGAAGCUGGCCAAGAAGAUGCGCCAGAACCGCCCCAUCCCCUACUGGAUCCGCAUGCGGACCGACAACACCAUCAGGUACGCUUUGCCGCUAUCUCUUCUUCCCCCGUUGUUUGGUGGUUAGGCCUUAAAAAACUCUGUUGAGAAGAAGAGACGAUCCCCUUAGUUGUUCGUGUCUCUGCGUUGCUGUCUCAGGUACAACGCGAAGCGCAGGCACUGGCGCCGCACCAAGCUCGGGUUCUAAGCAUGGAAGAGAGGCACCGGAUGCUGCUGCUGCUGCUUGGAGAAGGAUCUAGGGUUUAUGAAUUGCCUGAUAAUACGAUGUUUCUGUAAGCUAGCAAGUGAUGACGUAAUGCUGCUUUUAAUAUUUUCCAUGUGUUUUUAAGAGAUUCUUAGUUGUGCUUGUAGCGUACUUGGUAUCAUCAUAUUUUGCUGAUUAAAGCACCACUUUUAUCCUGCUGAGGUACUGUAUUGUACCUGGGUGUCUUCAGCAAUUGAUCCUCAAUUUGCCUAAUUUGUUUAAGUAUGCUUGUUUGUCUGAAUCCAAUUCUUAUCUAUUGAUUUGAUUCUCAAAAUGAAAUCAUCGUACAGUAUUUAGGAUUGUUUGCCAGGUCUAAGUACUCUUUGUAGGCAUUUGUAACUCCUGGAUACAUAGUCUUAGCACAAUUAGAUCUUUCACACAUUUAGGAUUACAUGCUUCUGUUGGAACUAUUGGUUAAUCAGUUGCUGUGGUAUACCUAUGACAAUCCUGCAGGGAAAUCUACAACAUCAAUUCAUCCUACUCAUUGUUAUAUACAGUUAUAUUUCCACACUGCUGUAGAGUUUCUUAAGUCUACCAAUGUAUCAACUAUGUUUCGAUACCAUACUCUCGGAGUAAUGAUGCUUUGAAUGAAUGUGUGUUGGUUUGUGCGAUGGUUCUCAGUAUCAUCUUUUGGUUUUCUAUAUGCUGGGUUUUGCUGUUCUAGAUUAUUAUGGUUGUGCACAAUGCCGGUUUGAUUUCUAUUGCUUGUGUGUUCAGUGUUGAUUUGGGUAUAUGUUAACAGAGAACAUUUACUCAAAUGGAAGUCUUGUGCGCGUCAGACUCCAACCGGAGUUGAAAAAUGCCUGCUGCACACGGGCAAGAUCUCUGGAGAACAUCUCAGAGUCUCAGAUUAAAAACAGUAAACGAAAUGCUCCUUUGCUAUAGGGGGUUGCGGCAGCUCUCGAAAGUAUAUUUGGCCCGUAGGCUACAAUCACUGGUGUUAGCUCGUUAAUAUAAGAAGCCUAGAUCACUUUCACGGCAGCUCGUUUUGCUUGAUUAUUAUUGAGCCCAUAUGAAUUUUCACACAGAUCUGUGCCAUACUUAUACCUAGUAUACGUAUGGUUUUUCAGGAAUCCACUUAGCUGUGCAUGUGUUCGUCUUUUCUCUGAAAUCGCCACUUCUCUGGAAUCAUGGGCCGCCGUAUCAAUCCGUGAACUCAGGGCAUUCGCACCCCUACCAUAGUAUUGACUUCACACGUCAGCUAACGCGACGGUAAAAUAACAUACUUCUUCCGUCCCAUAUUAAGUGACUUAAAUUUGUUCAAAUAUGAAUGUAUAUAGAUCUAUGUAAAAUUUCGGCACGUAAUAUGAGAAGUAGGAAGCAUGCAAUUUUGGCAAAUGUUUGAAUAGAGCAAUUUUUUUGGCAAGUCAAUGUUCUAUUACCAACUUUAAUUUAUUUUUCUGGCUAACUUUGGAUAACUCAUGGGUUAUCAAAACCUCGCCAAAAGUUUGCCAUGAUAAAUUUAGGCUAAAACCAAACAUACACUUAGUGUCUUGUAUGCGCACUCAGGGUUGUGCGUUUAAUGAACAAUGUGAAUCUUGAUGUGUCAAAACAAAAAACAGUGUGAAUCUUGAGUUUUAUCUCGUUAAGUUUGAUGGAUUGAGCCUUAAUGAAAGAGCUUAACGAGCCGAGCAAGCUCGCUAUCCAACAAUGGCUACAAGGCUUUCAAUGUUUUUUCUAUGUCAUUUAUUAGCGUAAUGUCCAUGGUUCAAAUGUUAAUCCAAAAUAAACAUGCCAAAUUUCAUGCUUUUAGUUUUCAAAUGUUGAAAGUUCCUUAUUUAAGUACUCCGGAUUUAGAUUUGGCCCAUUUGUAUAUGUAUUUUUGACCCAAAAAAAACUAGUCAUUUGUUUUUAGAUUCUAUUAUAGCAUAAAAUCAUAUUAUAUUUUCUUAAGUAGCCCUACAAAUCAACUCCAUGCGUAUCUAGACAAAGCUGACACAAUUAAGUUGGAUUGAAAGGAGUACAAAAUACAUACUCGAAUGACGAUGGUGCCCAAACAAGACACGGCACCCUCUAAUGGGACAUGAAGGGUAACAUUGAUGGUACGAUUGAGUUUAUCAGGUAAGUCAUUAGAUCAUGAGGUGAAGUUACCUUAUUGUGUGGAUGGGUUGUUGCAUGCACAAAUUGUUAUUUAAGUUACCAAAUUAUUUGGUAAAGCCAUCAAGUUUUGUGGUAACAACUACUGAACUACCUUGGUAUACAAAAUUGUUAAUCUAAUUACUUGAUAUUUCAUAUGCAAACUGUUAAUCUAGUUACCAUGUUUUGUGCAAACAACUACUAGAUUAUUCAAUAGACAAAUUUGUGUUAUUCUAAUUACUGAAUUAUUAAGGUGAAGUUACUAGUUAUGUACUAGGUGGUUUAAUAUAGAAAAAUGUUGUAAUUACCAGAUUACCUAGGCAAAGUUGCUAGGUUGUAAGAUAUAAACUUAAGAAGGAAAUUACAUGCACAAAUUAACGGGAUACAAAUCAAUACCAUGUCAUGGGCAUAUUCAAUCAUGAAAAUCCAAACAUCACACAAAGAAACGCUUCUAGUCAUGUGCGCCUUGACCAGCUAGCUUUGCUCAUGCAAGGCGAGUACUACUCUUCUAUCCAAGACUUGUCGGCUGCUAUUGAUGUUGUGGUGACAACCAGGAAGCAACUAGGCGUGAUGGUGGCGCCGAAUCGAUACGUGUCUUCAACAUCAACCAUGGCUUGUACUUGGAUAGGUCGAGGUGUAUGGCUCGCGUCUUCUAACUAUGUGGGGAAGUCACUAUAGGGUGUCUCACCGGUGAGCCCAUUGGUACGCCGACCACGUCGAUUCGGAAGACGCCCAUCAAUGGCGAGUCGUGCAUCAUGGAAAAGAACACCACACUUCUCAAAACAACCCAACAACUCUUCCCCGCCUCUGCACCGUGGCUGUCAUUUGCCUCCUACUUUUUUUUCAGAUCGAAAGGAGGCCAACAUAGGUCCCCGCCCAUUUCACUCGUGAAACUAGGUGUAUAGUCAUAAGGUCUUACAACCAAAUACAAGUUACAACGAUAAGGUUUUAGAGCGCGACGGAAUAACAAGCAAUAACAUUAGGAGCUUCGGAACUUCAGAGCUCAAGCCAACCUACGCUCUUUUGCGAGUGCCACCACCUUCGUCAGCUUCUCAAGUAAGAUCAGGGAGGGAUGAGAUUACAGAGACAGCACUAGCCGCAAGCAGCUUCAGCCCAUGAGAAUGGAAGCUGCCAUCAUCGAUGGAAACCGAAAGCAUGGAGCAGCUACCAACUAGGGUUGCAUCUUCCCUACUGCCACCUACUGCCUCUGCCAUCUUCCCCUAGCAUCAUGGCAGUGCUCUUGUCCUUGUUGCGUCUCUUGAGGCAGUAAGUCAUCAAUUCACAAUCUAUAAUACAACUCUUUUAAUAAAUUGCAUCUUACUGCCCAAUGAGAGGUGAGAGAAUUGUAUGCUAACUCUCUCGUCCCAACGUGAACCCUUUGCAUGAGUUGUAUGUUGAUCUACAUACAGCUUUAUUCUUUUAUCAUUUUCUUAUUUUGUCACAUUAUCACAUGUUUUAUAUGUCAUAACAUAUUUUACAUGACAAUUUUUAGCAACAAAUGUAUCUUGCAGCAAUUGUAGGUAGUCUAAACGGGUCCAAAGGGUCGACAAGGAUGCAUGGCUGCUCGUGGGCGUCGCCAUGAGUAGCGCGGAAACGUCCCAUCUGGACCGUGAAAAAUCUCUACGCGUCCCAGGUACCGCAACCCCGCCCCUCCGAAAAAAAAAUCAGUGCCGGCACUCCCCUCGCCUCCUUCUCAUAGCCCGGAUUUGAUCUCGACGACAACGCUUCCUCUCAGCCGUCGCCUACGCCUCGAGCUCCUCCUCCCCUCCAGCACUUGCCCCACGAGCUGCCCCGUCCCAACCCCGAGAGGCCGAGAGUACCGAAGCGAACUAGCGAAGUAGAUGCAUUCAUCUUAUUUCGGUGAACAAUUCAAAAGUUACGAGUUGCUGAAGUUUCAGCAUGAAUUUAUCCCAAAAAUUGACUUUUUUUUCAAAGUUCCCUCUAAUUCUGAAAAAAAUCAAUAAAUAGUAACUGCUGGAAAUUUCUUCUUGUUUCGGUAGGCAGUUCAAAGUUAUGAACUUCACAACUUUCAUGUCAGUUGGAAGAACUAAUAAAACCGGCUCUUGCUGGUUUGCCCCUACAGUUGCCAGUAAUUUACGUACCUCCUGCCAUUCAGAUAAAAAUAGCUCUACUCUCUUCCCCGGUCCUCUGAGCCCGUAUCGCUCCCCCUCUUCCUCUCUCUUCUGGAGAUUAGGGUUAGCGCCGCCGCCGCCGCCCUCUCUUUGGCCGCCGGCGCACUUUCGCGUCGCCCCCCGCAGCCGCCCCACUCACCCCCGCUGAAUCUCCCUUGCGUCCCCUCGCCGCCGCCCCCCUAUCCGUUUCUCCCCGCCGCCGCUGCCCUUCGCAGAUCCGCCGCCCGAGUUCUAGCUCGGACCACCUCGUCGCCGAAGCUGCUCCGUACGGAUCGCCGUCCACCUUCGUCAAGCUCCUCCCGAACGCACCGGGACCUACUCCUCCAAAGGCUCGUGCCCUCUGCACCUCAGAUUUCCACCGAGUCGCCCCCCGCACUGAUCUGGAGGUAAAGCUGUGAACUUUGUUUGCUUUGACGCGAAAGUUAUAACUUUGGUUGAAUGGUUCGAUUGCAGCAGUACACAUGUGAAUUAUAGGCAGAAUUCUUUUGAUGAUUUGAUGUCAGCUGUACGCAUGCGAUUUGAUGAUUUUGUAUGGUCAGAUACAUGGUCCUAUAUUAGAUUUAAAUCGUGCCGUCCCAAACCCUCCUCCCCCAAAUCCUCAAUCUGCUGUAUUGGCCUUUGAAUCCCCAAGUUUUCACCUCAGUCCUUGUAUCCCCUAAAUUCCCCUGUUUCUCCAAUUCACUGCCGCCCAUGUUCACCGCUGCUGUUGCACAAUUCGUGUUAUGGGCUGGAGAUUAAGCUGGAAUAUCAAGCUAAUAAGUUCGAUCAGCACCAUCAGUGCAAGCCCCAAUCCAUCCCGAUACACAAUUUUCUAAGCCGAGCAGUGCAUUUUUCAAGCAAUUGUAGAAAUCCUCUAGAACUCUGCUCUUGGAAUUUACCACAUGAAAUCGUCAGGUUACUCACGUGGUCUUAACUUGCAUGCAGCAAUUUUAAUUCGAGUCACUAGUAUUUUCAUGAAGGAUUCGUAUACUGUAGCUCGUUAUCCUUGUAAAUGAAGGGGAAUGCGUCGAUACACUGUGAUUAUUAAAACCCUUUUCUUUGUUAUAGUAUCAUCUGCAUCUUAUAAAGUUGAAUUACUGUGCUCCCAUGAAAGACAGGCAGUUCAAAGCUGUAUGGACAUGUGGCUAUUUCCCCUUUGUUGUAAUUAUUCUACCAGACUAGCACUCUUCCUUUGUAUGUCAAGUUGACCGGUGUCCUUUAAUGUUCCAUGUCAAUAUAAAGUUUGAACUCUUCACAGCCCUUACUUUUAUGUAUGCAUAUGAUGUCAUGUUUGCAAGGGUGACAUUAUAUAUCCCACUUUGCCAGGUUUAUUAGAAGAAAAGAGGGAAUCAUACAUGGAUAUCAUGCAGACAAGUGACUCUUCACAUCAUGGAAUUGUAGAAAACAGCCCUUAUAGAAUUCCCUAUGAUAGACAUGUGGAAGGUGGCCAACUUGGCGCUUCAUGGUAUUUUAGUAGAAAAGAAAUAGAGGAGAAUUCCCUUUCAAGGAGAGAUGGGAUUGAUCUGAAGAAGGAAUCUUACCUUCGCAAGUCAUACUGCACUUUCCUUCAGGAUUUUGGGAUGAGGCUUAAAGUGUAAGGCCAUGAAUAUAUUUUUCAACUUGUUUUCAUGGGAAAUAUAAUACUCCCUCUGACCCAUAUUACUUGUCUCAGAUUUAGUACAAAGUUGUACUAAAUCAGUGACAAGUAAUCCGGCUGGAGUGAGUAGCAGUUUUAGCUGUAUUAUUUGAAUCUUACCUGUUCAUAUUAAGUUUGUGUAGAGCUUAGUUCCUUUUAAGAAGCUUUUGUUUCUUUCUCAUUUCCCUGUUAACAAUAUUCGAAAUACUUUAUGAUUGAUGUCAUUCUUGUUUUAUUUUCCAAAUCCAAGGGAAGUCCAGUGCACACCUAAAGCAUAAAUGAACAUUCUAUUGGUGACAGUUAUUGUAUUGUAGUGUACCUGGCUGCAUUCCAUACCCUUGGCUACCCCUUCGCGGACAGAACAUUAGGACCCUUUGUAGUUUGAAACCAAAUGCUGCCUCAGUUUUUGCACCCCUCGAGACAAGUUUGACCAAGUUAGGCUAGUGUUUCGUUUAUCGCCACAGCUUAGGCAUGCUAAACUUUUUUUUCAGCUGGGUCUCAAAUGACAUAGACAUAUGCUCUGUCGCAAGGUAUAUUUAGGCAGGCUAAGAUCUGGUACUCCCUCCGAUCCAUAUUACUUGUCAAAAUAUUACAUGUAUUUAGACGCUUUUUAAACAUACAUACAUCCAUAUUUGGGCGAAUUUGAGACAAGUAAUAUGGAUCGGAGGGAGUACCAUUUUUCACUGAGACAAGCAAAAAUAUCUCACAUGAUCAGGCAUUCUUUGGAUGUGAAUCAAGCAGGCCUUUUGUGGAAAAACAAACACUGUGAGGAACCUUUGUAAUGAUAUUAUGGAUGCAAAUGUACUUAGAAGAUUACUGACAUUACCUUUGGUGAUUCAAGGAAUAGGGUGUGUAGGUUUCAAAGAAAAGUAGAAUGGCCUUUUAGUUGUAGGUUGCCAAGCAUGCCAACUGAUCAAGUGUCAGUUUAAUCAUUCGCCUGUCCAGAUUUGCUUGUCUUGUUUUUCCUGGUAUUUACUUGAUUAUAUUGAACAACUGUUGUUAUUUAAUCAAGCAACAUCUGUACUAUAUUAGAUAUUUAUGAUUGAUGACCUGCCGAGUUUUUCUUCUGCCUAAGCAUUCCUGAGCACUUCUAUGCUUUAGAUGUUUAGUUUGUUCAUUGAAUUUUAGCCAUACUCCAUGUAGAUUGUGAGCUUUGUGUUAACUUUGUUUUCUAUGAUAACACCUAGAGAUGAUCUUGUAGUAAUAUUGAUUCAAUAAUUUGAUGGCAAUGCUGUCAAUUAUGAAGCCAUGGCUUUUUGUGUUCUGCUGAGAAAUAUGGCUGCACAUGCCUGUGAACUCAGUGAAAUUUAUGUUUGAAAAGUUGCUAGAUAUGCAUGUGACCACAUAACUCCUGUUCAUUUAUCCCCAUUAAAACAGGUUUAUGUUUUCUUCGUAAGCACAUGGCUUUGUCAGGAAUAACUUAACAUAUGGCCUUGGAAGGGUCACUUGUUCUUGUCGGGCAUGCAACAACCGGUGAUGAAAUCCUUGUUUUAAGUAGAACAGGAAAUACACAACUCUGUUUAGUAUAACUUAGGCCUUUAUGUGUCCUUAGAACAAUUGUAGCACUAAUGUUUAUGGAGCAAUAAAGAUCCCUUUAUAUCACUGCAUGAACUAUGCUCUUCUGGCAUGGGAUAGUUCUUUAUAGUAAUUGUUUUCCAUCUUGUGAUGAAUGGCUUUAUAAUGUAGGCCUCAAGUGACAAUUGCUACAGCUAUAGUAUUCUGUCAUCGUUUCUUUCUCCGUCAAUCUCAUGCCAAAAAUGAUAGACGGGUAAGCCUUGCUGAAUCCGUAUGGGCCUGUACAUGUUUGUUGUCAGACAACAUACUUUCUACUUUAUCUGUAAAUCAAGAGAAGUGUUUGCUGUCACUUGUAAACCAUAUAUUUUAUUGGAUUCCAUGUUUGGUGAAUUUUGUUUUGGCUCUGCAGAAAAGACAUGAAUGUUAAAAUUUUGGGUAGUGUAAGCAUAGAUCAUGCUACUUGCAGUUUUUUAUUUGUUAGGAGUAGCAUGUUUUUAAUUUUUUAUACAAGUGCUCAUUGCAAGUUGUGAAUGUAAGUUCAUUAUAAUCUGCAGACGAUAGCCACAGUUUGCAUGUUCUUGGCGGGCAAAGUUGAAGAAACACCCAGACCCCUGAAGGAUGUCAUACUCAUUUCUUACGAGAUCAUACACAAAAAGGAUCCUGCUGCAGUCGCUCGAAUUAAGCAGAAGGUGAAGUAUUUUACUGUGAACAUUUUCUCGAUAUUCCUUAUGUAGUUGCCAGAGCUAUCUUUGUGUACCCUCAUUCAUAAAGCUACAAGUUUUUUGUUUAUAGUCAAUGCAUUUUUAUACCCUGAUCACUGUGACAAGAAUGGACGCUGAGGCUAUUUUUGUGUUGUUUUGUGCAGGAAGUGUAUGAACAACAGAAGGAACUUCUUUUAAUUGGGGAGCGAGCUGUGCUUGUAACACUUGGUUUUGACCUGAAUGUGCACCACCCGUACAAGCCCUUGGUUGAAGCAAUAAAAAAAUUCAAGGUUGCUCAAAAUGCACUUGCUCAAGUUGCCUGGAAUUUUGUCAACGAUGGGUAUGCUAAAUUACACUUACAUCCUUACAAAAAUAGUAAUCCCCGAUUAUGCCUAUUUACUACGCCUUAAAAGGGGUGUACAGGCUACGAACUUCGCUCUGCCUGCAAUUUAAGCCCCAUCAUAUUGCGGCCGGGGCAAUCUUCCUUGCUGCGAAGUUCCUCAAAGUCAAGCUUCCAGCAGAUGGCGAGAAGGUCUGGUGGCAAGAGUUUGAUGUAACUCCACGGCAGUUGGAAGGUUGGUCUCUAGAUAUGAAGUCAGUAGUGUGUAAUUGCACUAUUCAAUCUUGUAAGGAUAGUAUUUCAUGUCCUCGCAAGUAGUAGUAUUUGGUGUGAUGCUUUAGUUGUCUAGGAGCCCAUGAGAACUGGAUGGACCGGAAAUUCAUCAAUUUAUCAAAAAAAUGAUGGUGGAGCUAGGUUGGUUAGGUCAAAGACACACGUUGUUGCGAGAUAAGCACAAGGGAUUCUUGAGUAUUAGUGUUCUGGGAUAUACAAGGGAAUGCCAUGUACAGGAAUGUAAUGUUAGGUUCAGGAACUUGUAUUGACUAGCCUUUAUGGAUCCUGAAAUAUUUUGGUUAGCGUUGACUCUUCAGUUAGGUAUCAUUUGUACUGUACAGGAAAUUAGCUUAUUAGUGGCAUCACAAACUGGUACAAAUUGGACAAUACCAUCGGACAUGAGGAUGACAUGUGGAGCCUGAAGCCACAUAUUAAUAUUAUUGCUCAUUUUUAUACCUAUUUACUAUGACUAAUACUCCAUCCAUCCCAUAUUAAGUAUCGCAACUUUGCAUGUAUGGAGAUGCGUUUUAGUGUAUAGGUACAUGCGUAUCUAGAAAAAGUUGCGACACUUUCUCCAUUUUCUGCCAUGGUUACCUUUGUAGUUUCAUUGUUCUUUUUUGUGAAGUUACAAACGAAGGACCCAUUCUUAUAUUAAUUGUGACUGUUCUUUGCAGAGGUUAGCAACCAAAUGUUGGAGCUCUACGAGCAAAACCGUGUUGGCCCACCACCAUCGCAAGGGAAUGACACUGAAGGCAGCUCCGUAAGUAUGGCUAUUCAGCGUACUCCUGGGAAAGCUGCUAGUGCUGUUGAGGACCCUCCUGCUCAUGAAAGUCAUCAAACACCCAGACAGUCGAGCAUGCCAGGCCGUCAUGGAUAUGACCACCCUCACCCUGAAAAACAAAACUCAAACCAGAGGAUACCCCAGAAUGAAGGAAGGGAUGGUAGUGCCAAUAGCAGUGAAGGCGCCAAUAUGUCAUCGUCAAUGAUGGAUGCAAUGAAGAAGAUAGACAAGGACAAGGUGAAAGCUGCGCUCGAGAAACGGAGGAAAUCAAAAGGUGAUGCUGGCAGGAAGGUUGACUUCAUGGAUGAUGAUGACUUAAUUGAGAGGGAGCUGGAACAUGGAGUGGAAUUGGCAGCAGAGGAUGAUAAAAAGCAUGACAGAAGGCCACAUCCCUCGCACCGGGAGGAUCAUCAGAACAUGGCCCGCCCGGCAGAGAACACUGAAGAGGGCGAGCUGUCCAUGGACAGUCAGGAAUAUCGUUCUCCUGAGCUUGACAACCGAAAGAGGAAGGACACCCACGAGCACAGGAACUAUGACCGCGGCGAGAGGGACCUCAAAAGGCUAAGGUCAUGAAAGCAAGCAUUCAUCGUCGUCACCCUGGGGAGUGCGAUCAGCAGAGCAGUGGCGCCGUCUUACGAAACGCGUGUGAAACCUAAUUUUUUCCAUCGCGGGAGCACUCUAUAAGCCUAUUUGCUAUGUUGGGAGAUUUGAACUGUAAUGUACUGUAGAUUGAGAAAGAUUGUUUCCCCCAGGGAGUGUAUACAUGCUCCGGCGAUAAUAUUAUUAUGAAACAUUGUUUAGCAGGUUCGUAGAUGUUAGUAUUAUAUAGUAUAUCGGCAAUAGGGCACCGAUAAUAAGCAAAUUUAGGCUUGGUUUAUUACUUUUAAGCAAGUGUUUGGAGCAAGCAUGAAGCGAUAGAGAAAAUAAUUAAAACACCCAGGAACUGUAAACAUACCCAGCUCUGGAAUUGACUAUCGAUCGAGCUCCAUUAGCCAGGUAUCAAUUGCCUGGGUGGAAAAAGAGUCUGCAGCUUCAUUGGGGUGCUACGUUGAUCGCACCGGGCUUUGGGCCUUGGGAAGCGCAGACGAACAUGGCCCAUGGGGUUGCUUCUGCUGGUGCCGCGCGUGCUGCUGAUGAGGCAUAAGGUAGGAAUCCUUUUUUUUUUUUUUGAGAGAGGAAAAUUUGAAGGUUACCCAUUCAUGCAAGCCAUUUCAUGUGGAAACAUGUGAUGGCUUAUGGUGUAUCGUGCCAAUGGUUGCUAGAUCACGAACCCGACUUUGUGGAUCCAUCCUUGUCUGUACUUGGACCUGAGCUGAAUCAGGCGCCUGCCCCCACUCUGCAAGGCUGCAAGACGGGCGGUGGCCUGCCUCCAACAGCGAGCCCCCCUACCCUGGUCUUUUCCAAAGCUCAAGCCUGCCAUCCUGCUGCCUUGCGCCAGAACCUUGACUACUUUGCGUGACACUACAUUGAAUCGCUUCUGGAAUCAAAAGUAACAUGUCCACAAGCUCACAGACUUUCGGGCUCCACUCCCGCGACUCUUUGGCUAGGGAUCGCCAACACAAGGUUGGCUUUAUUCGGUUACGAACAAACAGCCUUCGUAGCACGCCCUUUCACUGCGCUCGUGUCUCCGCCCGUUCUUCUUUCUCCCAAUCCUCCGCCGCACCGCCGGAGACAGAACACAAACAGCACGCGCGCGACGCGAUGCCUUCCUCCUCCAGCGUCGACCCGGAGCCGGCCGCCGCCGCCGCGGAGUACUUCCCAUCGACCCUGCGCACGCAGGCCGAGGUGGACGCGGUCUGCAGGAUGCACGGCGUCGACCCCGCGCUCUUCACCGCACCCCCCGCCGGUGCCGACCAGCGCGCGAGCUCGCCGCCCCCGCCGUCCUCCGUGUGCGUGUACGCGGACGCGCUGGAGGCCGGGAUGCGCGUCCCGCUGCACGCCUUCUUCUCCGGCGCGCCCGCCCACUUCGGCCUCGCGCCGACGCAGCUCUCGCCCAACGGCUGGCGCAUCAUGGCCGGCUUCGUCGUGGUCUGCCGCCACGCCGGCCUGCCCCCUUCCCUCGCCGUCUUCCGCACCUUCUUCGCGCUAUGCAAGAGAUCCUCCGGCUGGUACUUCUUCCGCUCCAAGAAAUCCUCCGGCCUGCGCUUCGCCGGCACGCGGUGCGCUAAUAUGGACAUGGACUGGAAAACCCGCUUCUUCUUCCUCUCGUCGCCCGCGCCGUGGCCCUGCCCCGUGGAGUGGGUCGUGCCGUCCGAGACCUCCUUCAAGGAUCCCAUGCUCACGCCUGAGGAGAAGGGUUGGGCCGCGAAGCUGCUGCUUGCUCAUGGCGGCGCCGCCAUUGACUUCAGGACCUAUCUUUGCGAGACCAACCUUGCCGCCGCCAUGGUAACCGCCGCACUGCUGCCGAUGCCUUCUUCUGCUCGUGCUGCAGCCAGUUUUUCUUCCAGAGGUAAACAUCCAAAUCUCUCCUUGAUGUUGAUUGCCGUGCCUUACCGUUGCGUCUUUCUCAGGGAUGGAUUCCUCGGUCUAUGACACGAUGGAGAAGAUGACAACAGAGCCGGGCCUUGCCGGAGCGUGGUGGUCGUCGUCGUUGGGUUUGUGCGGGAAGAAGAGGAGUCUGCAGGAAGCCAACGGCGAGGAGAGCAUGUCCCUUUCUGUCCCCAACACGCCUCCUGCCGCUGAUGGCUUCUCGGCGCCACCGGAUUUCUCGUACCGUGUCUACGCGCUGGAGCUGGGGGAGAGGCUGGUGGCGCGAUGUGCCGAGGUCGCCGCUCUGCGGAAGAAGCUGGGGCCGGAGCUGGAGAAGUUGAAGGCCGAAGUCUCCACGGCGAGGCAGCUGGUGGGGACGGAGCUGGAGAACGCGAAGUCGGAGCUCGCCAGGCGACGGAGGCCGUGCUGGACAAAGUGAAGGCCGAGCUCGCCGCGACGAAGCGAGCAGCGAAGGCCGAGCUGUCCGCGACGAAGCAGGCGACGGAGGCCGAGCUGGAGAAGGUGAAGGCCGAGCUCGCCGCGACGAAGCGGGCGGCGGAGGCGGUGCGGCAGUUCUUGGGAUCCGCGGAGCACGUGCGGCGGCGCGCCCAGCACGCGCUUGAGGGGUACGAGCGCUGGCGGCGCACGAGCACGGCGCGCUCCGGCUCAACCCGCGCCUCGCCGCCGCCGGCCGCCCGCCUGUCUUGACGUGCUGCUUGAUUGGCUUCAUGGUUGAGUGCAUGAGAUUGUUCUAGAGAUUGCAUUGGUCCGAGAAUGUGUUCGAUAGGCAUGCAGGGCACAAGUGGUUCAGCAAGGAAUGCUGUAUGCGCGCACCGAAAUUUUGAAUCUUUAUGUUGGGAUCUGAUUUAGUACUGUAAUUCUCAAAAAAAUGAUCUGACUUAGUAACAUCGAAGUAAGAUCUUUAUUUUGGUGCAUUAGAAUACCGGGUUUUGUUCAUACGAAACUCGUGUGAAUUUUAGUUAGAGAUAAGUUGAUUGCUCAGCCAUUGGAUUUAGAUUUUCUUUUAAGAUUUGGGACGUGGAUGGAGGGGAGGGGUAAAUGACGUCCAAAUAUUUAUCCGAUAGAUUUGAUAAUAUCAACUGAGGUUUAAGAAUUAUUUUUCUUACAUAUUAGUCGCCUCAGAUAUAACCUCACCAAUAUUAUGUUGGGUGACUAUAAUUCAAGCUCUUGAAUUUUUUAGCAAAAUGCUUAAAUCUUUAGUUGAUAGUGUCAGAUCUGUCGGAUGAGUAUCUGGACGUCAUUCAUGCUAAAUGUCAGACGUAUAGAUGGCAAUGGGUACCCGCUCGCCGAAUAUCCGACGGGUCUAGACCCGAUUAGCAUACGGAUCUGGUAAAGAAUUGGACCUGAUUAGCACUUGAGCUGGGCUGCUGUUGUGUUCUUUGAUGGCUGAAAAUUGUGUGCUUUUGUCCCUUCCAUGGUGCUGCAGUGCUGCUGCUGCUGUGUUCUCUGAAGCCUGAACAUUGGAUUUAUCAUGUAUAAAACUAUGAACUAGUGUGUGUGCUGUGUGAAUGUGUCAUGGUUGAUGUGCUACUUCUGUCGGUGUCUAUGGAUGAAUUUGUGAUGGAUGAAUGAUGAAACCUGAUGCUUGCUGUCAUUUUGUUGUAUAUUUAUGCUGUAUGUUUUUGCUGUCAUUUCUGUCAUUUUUGCUAUUAUGUUGCUGUCAUUUUGUUAUGCUGACGACUAUGCUGCUCUCAGGUCGGGUAUACCCGACGGGUACCCGAGACCCGAUCAGGGCCAGGUCUAGGAAUUUUUUGGAUCCGAUGCCGAGUCCGAGACUAGGUCGCGGGGCAGGUGGCCGGGUCCGGGUCAGGGCAAGUCUGGUAUGCCCCGACCCGGACUUGAACCUGCCGGGUGCCAUCCGGAGUCACGCGACUUAGAUAUAGCGAAACAAUAAAAUAUUUUCUCACAAAAUUGGCAUAUGCUUGCAUUUUACUGGCAAAAAUUUAAAAUUUUGAUUUUUUUUAAUUUUUCAUUUUAAUUUUGAGAUCUGAUUUAGCAAGAGUAUGUGCAGAUACAUGAACAUAAAAAUUAGCAUAUUUUGCAUUUUAUUUUUCAUUUUAAUUGUCAUAUUUUGCAUUUUAUUUUUUAUUUCCAAACUAUUUUUGUGCAGAUAAAUGAACAUAAAAAUGUCAUUUCAAUGUUUUCUCUCACAAACAUCAAAAUGUCAUUUCAAUGGAAAUUUAUAACCACGUGGAUACAUGAACAUUAGUAUGUGUAAAUGUUUGGAAAUGUUUUUUGAGUGAAUUCCAAUUUUAACCCUCAAGGUUCACUUUUUUUACAGCUUUGAUCCCAUUUAAUAAAAAAUUUCGUUUUUGACCCCAUUUAGAAAAAGUUUUGCCACAAAUGACCCCAUUUAAUAAUUUGACUUUAAUUCUUUACUGCCAUGACACCUUGACCUGCACUCCCUCCAUUUCACAAAGAAUGACGCUCACGCUUUUCGAGAUCGAACUUUGACCAACGAUUAGACCAAUUGUAUGUAGAUUAUGUGUUACAAAUUUAUAUUGUUGGAAAGGUUUUUAAAAUACGAAUCUAAUGAUAUAAUUUUUGUAACACAUAACCCUCAAAUCAUUAGUCUAAUUGUUGGUCAAAACAAAAUUUUAAAAUACGUGCGUGCCAUUCUUUGUGAAAUGGAGUGAGUAGCAUGUACAUCCUUUCACGUGCCGGCCGCGAGCAUGCCUUAUGGCGACGCUCUGUGACAACUCGCAGGCGCUGAUCGAGCUGCAGCGCACGCGUGCCGAGCUGAGCAGGGCUCGGUUGGUGCGAGCACGCCGUCGGUGAGUCGAGCCAGGCUCGGCCCGAAGGCCAAACUAACGAGCUGCUUCUGGCGGUUUGGCGGGGUCCAGUUCGAGCUGGCUUGAGAGCUAGUGCGUGUGGGAAGCAAGUGCAGGCGGCAGGCCGGCAGGGGGGUUUCAGCAGCGGCCAACGUGUGGGAAGUAAGUGAAACGUGAGGUCAAAAAUGGAAUUCCCAGAUGUUUUUUAUACUUCCUUUUCCAUUAGACUAACCCGAAUCGAUCUCAAGCCGACCCAUUUUCAGUACGAAAUUAGUUGCGGAGAAUGAUAGACAUGGCAGCUUCCCGCACCCAUAUAUUGAUCAUCGUCGACAAAUUGUCCAUCGAAGCGAAAUCGAGCAACCAAAUACAAAUUCACCGUGUGUUUUCGAGCAACCAAAUACACUCGUCACGGCGAGCUCGGCCUUCACCUUCUCCAGUGUCCUUACUAGCCAACGAGAUUGUCAAUACAUCAUGGUUUUAAAUAGCGCGCCUUUUGGAUCACCUCUGCUAAAGUUAUGCACUUUUAGCGCUAAAUAAAAAAUGUCGCUAAUAGCUCGCUAAAAUGCGCUAAAACGCUAAAUUGGGCCAGAAAAUAGCGCUAUUUCUCCCGCUAAGCCCCAAAAUUUCUUGAUUUGAAUUUGGAAGUUGCACCUAGUUAUGUAAUAUGCACUUAUGCAAUCCUUUUAUUGCUACAAUCAUCAUGGUUAUUCAAUAAAAGUUUGUAUCAUUCAAUUUCUGGUCAUAUUGUUUUUGAUGAUAUGAAUAUAUGAUGACUAAUUUUCAUGAAAAAUUUCUUAUUUAUGAGAAAAACGCUAAAUGGCUUAGCGCCGCUAUAGCUUUUUUAGCAGCUGGAAAAUGCCACCGCUAAGAAGCAUAACCCGCUAUUUAAAACUAUGCAACACAUACACUCGAAACUUUCCUAGAUGAGUAAAAUACACCCGCGGUCCUAAUAUUAUUGACGAGGUGUCAAGUUAGUCCUAAAAUUACUAAAUUGCAUAUUUAGAUCCUAUCUUAUAGUUUGAAACAGAGAGUACUGCCAUCAGUAGUACUAAGCAUUAUGCAAAUACAUGUUCAAGAAAAAUAUAGUCAGCAUACUGCCCAAACAGGAUGUCAAUAGCUCUCUGACAUCCAUCCUCCGAGCCCAAGAAGGCACACAACAAAAUUAGAAAUGCAUAUAUCAAUGAUAUCGGUAUUCAUAUGAAUGCGGAAAACAUGGAGAUACUUAUAUAUACAUCAGGAUUAAUCAUGAUGAACACUGCUCAAACAUAUAGACCUGUAUUCAUUUGGUUGUUUUUUUAAUAAGCAUGUUAAAAAUAGUACGUUCUCCUUCAAAUAAACUGUAACAUCACCAAUUCAAGCACUAAUGAGCCUAGUACCCGAAGAUGUGCAGUGCAGUAGUUUUCAUGAACAAUUACUUUUCGAUAAAAAAGAGGAAUAAUAUUUUUAUAAAGGCACCAAUAUUAUACGUUUGUUGUUAUUUUGGUAAGUAAGUAAUGUUGUGUGAAAACCACCAUACUAAUAUUAUAUGUUUUCAGUAUCAUUUAUCCUCACUCAAGAAGUCACUGGUUUCAGGCUAUUCGUGCAUUCAUACUACACCAUAGGAAAAUUACUCUGGAGAAUAAGUCUUAAGUAUACAGGAAGGCAAUCGGUGAAGAAGAGUGCACCGUCAUAUACUUUUAUGUUGUCAACUCACCAAAGAUAACAAUAGCCUGCUGUUUUUAAAUUCUGAUCAACAUCUAUAUAGUUUGGAUGUUAAAUGCAAGUACUCUCUCUCUCUCAUAAUAUCAAACCCUCUGUAUAAGUGAAGAACACACCAAGUAAGUUCUACUCAGGUGUAGACCAUAGGAAUUGAAUGGAAAGAAAAAGAGAAUUUGGAACUAAACUAUCAAACAACAAUGACUUACCUUCCUUUUAAAGCUACCAAAUGUACUUGUGAUUCACCGACUGAUAAAGGGUGACAUAAUCCACGCCUCACAUUAAUAUUAUGUCGACAUGAUACUACCAUCCAUGUUAAAUCUGAAAAGAACACGAUGAUUAUGAGAAACCAAGUGACACUGACAUCCUUAAUUAUAACAUGCUAUGACAUGAAAAACAGUGUGCCUCCAAAACUAUAGUAGUAUGUAUCAAAUAUCUGCAAUGAUUGUUGCUCCUAGUCACACAAUAUAUACCGAGGAAGAACUAAAUACUUUGACCUGUUUGCAGGCACUAAGAACUCACCUAAUAUGCCUACAUGAUCAAGUAUACAUACAUGAGCACGGAUUAUUGCACAUAAAUCCAUUAUAUAUACGGGAAUACUUAAACAACCAUCACUAUUUAGUACUCCCUCGGAUCCUAAAUUCUUGACUCAAAUUUGCCCAAAUAUGGAUGUGUCUAUUCUUAAAAAGCGUCUAGAUACAUGUAAUAUUUCGACAACAAUUUAGGAUCGGAAGGAGUACAUCCUAAUAUACCUGCUUGCAUAUAUACAUGAUUAUCAAAUAUCCUAUAUGGGUUUACAAUAUUGCGCACAAAUCCAGUAUAAGUGAAUAGUCAAAUAACAAUCUUUAUUUGUUACUUAGGACAUAUGUAAAGUAUUUUUGUUUCUUUAUGACUAUCCAUUGUUUUUUCAGGCUAUUCAUAUGUUGAUUCUUCAUAACUGUGUGGUGAUAUUGUUCAGAUCUUGUCAUUCAAAUAAAUUUUUUUAAAAUAUAUGCAGCAAUACGUACUGCGUAUCUCUAUCCAUCCAUAGACAGUAGUAUUAGUUAGGUCCGUAGAUCAACCAUGAAUGUACCCAGAAAAUGCAUGCGAUGGUGCAUACACAGGUCGAGUAGAGAACCUUCAGGUAAUAUUUAAACACGUGUUUUCUCCUUGUGGCAAAUUCAAAUAAAAAAAUGCACACAUAAAUCAAAUUCAAACGGAUCAACUGGAGGAUGCAAUUUUUACUGAAUUUUCGAUGUCAUAUCUGUAGACAUCACUUGUGGCAAUAAGAAUCUGCAUAAGGCAACCAUAAAUGAUUCAACAUUGCAUAAUUCUGCAUCAGCGGAACAGUAGGCAUUAAAUUCAGAGUUCUAAAAGGAAGGAAGAAACAGCCGCAUCAUUUUGCUGGAUUACUACAAUGAUGUACACCAAUGGCCUAAGCAAAAGUAAUUAAGCAUAAAGUGAUAUGUGAUACAUGUGAAAUACUAUGGUAUCUGCAAACUACAUCAAAGUACAAAGAGUAGAAGAUAAAGAUGAAGUAAAGUUGAAUCAAGGUUAACUAAUCAUGCAUCAACGGUAACCAUUAAAUUUUAAGAAUUAAGAGGGAAGUAGUAGACAACUGCAUAGCUUGGUAGAACAUUGUGCAAUGACGGUCGACCAUACCUCGUAUGCUAGGACCAGCAGCGUGGCAGCGCCACGACAGAGCGCAAGGCAUGUGCCAAGGAAGAGACCAGAUGAUGAAGGGGAGCGACCGCGUGAGCGCGACGCUGCAAAAGAGGAGCAGUUGGAGGUUCUUGCCGAAAAAAAUAGAAAGAAAAGGAGAUUAUUCGUCUCAAAUCUGGUCAUGUAUCAUGAAAGGAAGAGCAAUGAUAUGAUAUUAAGAUGUUUGAAAAGAAAACCUAUUGGAUGUUGCUACUGAUCGAAGAGAGGUUAGCCGAACAGAUAACAUGCUCCACUAAUAAACAAUAUGUUUCAGUCCGUACGUGUCUCUUGAGGUUGUUGUCCGCUUCACUUUACAAAGCAAAAUGCAUGUACAGUAAGGUCAUUAUAUAUUCAUGCAUUUGUGAAAACCUGUAUACAAAGUAUGCAGAUGAAGUUUGUAAAACAUAAUGCAAUAUAGGCUUGUAUUAAUGGUUCUUGACUGAACGGAAGGUAGAUUACAACUAAAUUAAGCAUUGACUCAAUAGAUAGUCAAUUAAAUCACUCCUAGCUAUGAAGUUAAUCCUAAUUGUAGGAACCUGAUUUCCAAGCCUGAAAUUCGAACCUAUAUUGCUUCAUUAAUAGAGUUGUGGAAACUCACAGGCCGUAGCAAUUUUGCUUGAGAUUUUGACCACUUAGAAAGUUACAAUCGAUGAUAUUGUACCCGCUUUAAUUACCUGAAUCAAAUAUGGAGUUUUAGAAGCAUUAAUUUGCAUGUCUAAUAUACGUUAACUGAAUAUAACAUCAAGAUAGUUGGCUGUGACCGCCCCAUUUGAUCAACUAGGUGAUUCCCCGCACGUUGCCGCGGAAAAUUCUAUAUGCAUGUCUGGAUAUGAUGUUAGGAACAAAUGAUAAUAAUAUGAUUUAGUGCAAAAGAAAUAUGAAUAUUUUAGGACAAAAUGACUUUAUCAUACAUAACACAUAUGCAACAAAACAAUAAAAGUAAUUUUGAUGUACAUGAACAUACAACUUCAGAGAAACCGAAAAGUGAAACUUCAUCAACCUGAAUAUUUGCAUAUCUUAGAAAAUUGACAUAUAUAUCAUGAAAACAUUUGUACUUGGUGAACUAUUUAAUAUGAAAGUGAAAAAUAUUAGGUGUCAAAAUAUUAAAUCAUCGAAGGGACCACCAAAAUGGAUUUCUAGUGGUCUACAACAAAUGAUGUGAAUGGUGAUAUGGACAAUUUGCAUGCUUAUGAUGUGAAUGAUGUGGAUGGUGAUGUUGACACCUUGCAUGUGAAACUUGAAAACAUUAAUUGCAAUUAGAUUAUAUAAAUGACCAAUAUAACGAUGAAACAAAAAUCUACAAUUCUACAAAACAUUACUCCAUACAAUAGUAUUAAACAUACAUGUAUAUAUUCCAUACAAUGAGUGAUGUGACUAAACAGUCCUUUCAUUGGUUCAGAAAUUAACACCAGCAAACAAAGCCUAUGGUUUUGCUUCAAUAGUUUCACCAGCUCUUGGUGUCACAAAAAAAAUUAGUACAACUAUCUUAGGAAGGUGACCUAAUCAGUGAAGAAAGACACCUUAGUACGUUAUAUUUCAUCAAAGGAAUGGAUGACACAAAUUGGGCAUGCAAUGUGAUUCUAAAACAAUUAACAGGAAAGUUCAUCUUCAUCCAUAUAAAUUGUAUAACUGAAAUGAUGUGCUAGCUCCUUAGAUCUACUACAAAUGCGGUAAAGAACAACUGGAGCAAGGGUGAUGAAUAGUACAUGAGAACAAAGUACUGGCAGAUCUUUGACAUAAAAAAAACCAAUUUUACGAAAGCUUUCAUAUCCUGCAAAAUAAACCAAUUAGCAAGUGCAGUUAGGCAGUGUGGUAAAUUACAGAGGAAGAACACCUUGCUGUGCACGUGGAUGCUCACAUAUCCAAGAUGAGAUUAGGUCGAUCAUUACUCAUGAGAUAAUGUAGAACAUCUCCAGGAUGAAAGGAUGGAGUGAAAGAAGAAAUAGGCUCCGAAGAGCUUCGUCUUUGGCGCCAUGCAGGGCUUAACAGUGUCCUGGGUCUAGAAUGAUUGCUUUUCUUUUUUUCCACCAGGUCCGGCCUCCCGACUCUGUUCUCUCUGAAACCGAUGUAUCCUCUGUAGUUUUCUUCUUCUCCCUCUUAGCUCGGUACCUUUGCCCCUUCUAUGUUUUAUUUUCGUUGGGCUUCUCUGUUCCUCCCAUGUACAUCCCAAUUCUUAUUAAUGGAAAACGAUGCUGUCGUCUUCGUCAAAAAUGAAAAAAGAAAUAGGCAAUAGUGCGGCAUCGUUCAGCUUAAUUGAUAGCCCAUACCUGGCAGUUUCUGCAGUACUGCGAGAAACAAAUCAUGAUGCACUUUUUCUGUUCCCUGCAACAACAAACACACUGAUGGAACAAAAGGAGUACAUAACUGGAAGUAAAUUUUCUACUUAACUAACAUGCGCCCAUCUUGGUGUUCACCACUAUUUCUGAAUAUAAUCUGACUCCUAAGGAAAAUGGAUAGAUUAGACUCCCUUCAUUUUUUUUUUGUGUAACCCAGCUGCAUGUACCAUGAAGAAAAACUAAGUAGAUUUUUUUCUAGUUCACACCCAACAUGAACAGGGAGCAAAAAAGUUUCUGAGCUGGCUCUUACCUUUUGUAUGCACCAGAAAAACCUCAUAUCUGAAUUUUGUAUUCUGUCAAUUAUACUACCAAAUUGAGCACAUACAAAAACUGAUUAACAUUUAGCCAAUCUAAAAUAACAGAGGGGACACAAAACACAUGAAAUCUUGAAUAUGCUGAGGGAUGGGAUAACCUGGGGGCUAUAUGUUGUCUACUUGCAAAGGGAAAUCUUGAAUACACCACGUCGUACCUACCUGCACAGGGAAAUCAGAUUCAGCUAUAUGUUUUUCAAAGCCAACAAAUCUUUGGAAGAGGCAAAUCAUCAAAGACCUCCUAUGCAGAGAGACGGGAUAACCUGGGGCCUGGGACAAAUAAUCCCACAAGAGAGAGACUGGGGAACAACGUGGGUGGAACAAUUACAACGAAGAUUCAGUGCAAUGAAGGGACAACGCCGAGGAAUGAGACUUCGACGUGUAAGACAAAGCCGACGCGGUGACGCCCACCACGAUUUCGGCUCGUUGGGGGCUUCGGCGUGGUCGCUGCCGCUGCCAGGAACGCCGGGAGGGGCUCGCCGGACGCGUGGAAGGCGAGGACACGGAAACGCUCACAGCGCGGCGGCGAAGACCGCGUACACCCGGCGGAGGAGUAAACCUGAGGCGAUGAAGAAGACGAAGCGGAGGGGACAGGGGAGCUCGGGCAGCAGGGCAGGCGAAGCAGUGCGGCAGCCAUAUCGAUCGGGUUUUUUUUAGAAAACUCUACCCAACUUUAUUAACCGCUGAAAUUAACAGGAAUACAUAAAUGUUAAGGGGAGUUGUCAGCCAAACAUAGCGGCCUGCCACCAAAGAAGUGGCCAUCCUAGCUAGACGAUGAGUCUCGUCAUUUGCUUCUCGCUUCUCAAAAGAAAAGAUACAAUCUUGGAAAUCCUCCUUGAGUUUUAGGAUAUCAGAAAUCACCAUGCCAUGGGCACCUCGAGUGGAUCCGUCCUUGAUCUCAUUCACGACGGUUUGGCAGUCCGAAGCAAUUAGCAUUCGGUGAAUUUACAAAUCAGCAGCAAGAGCUAGCGCUUCGCGGCAUCCCAUCGCCCUAAGAGCCGGGGGGAUCCGUUUGAUCUUCAAAAACAACAGCUGAAGCACCCAAAAAUAGGCCGUCACCAUCUCUGCAGACGACACCAGCUGCUCCUCUACAUGUCGUCUUCGCCACAGCCCCAUCGGAGUUAAACUUCAUCAUACCCGGCGGAGGAGGCAUCCUUCUUGGAACUGGCGGCCAUCCAACAUGCGGCACAGUUCCAUGCCAAGCUCGGAUACCUAUUAAUAAAGAGAUGAGUGGAAAGAGGGCUCUGGAACUCCCCUUCGUGGAUCGCCUUCCUACGAGCUCACCAGAUCGCCCAUAGAGUCACAAGGACGUUGAUAAAUUCAUCAUGCUUCAGGGAUUGACUCAACGAGAAGAGCCACACC